AUGUCCCAUUUCACUAAUUGGAAGGGCAUCCAAGUAAGGAGAAGCUUGAUGCCAUAUGACAACAUCAGAUUUCUCCGUGAGAGGAAGGAUGGGAACAAGAGGCAAGAGGGCCGGCCUGAAGACGGGCACUUGCCUCCCAGUCAGGCGUUGCAGAAGGGGGAGGGUGCCUGGAGCACUGAGGACAAGACAAAGGAGGCAGGAGAAGAUAAGGCUGCUGAACAAAGCCCUUCUCUCAGCAAAGCAGAACUGUGUAAAGAUGCAAAGGUCUGACCACCAACAAACCUGUGGGAUGAAGCUGGGAAUUGUCUUCUCCAAUAGCAAAGAGCUUCCUAAUGCAUGACGUAAGUCUUUCAAGGAUCCCUUUUUAUCUCUUAUCCUUUGCAGACUGAGAAGCACUGCAGGUCUGCCCCAGCAGGGCCCUUUCCAGCGCUUCAUGAACAAGAAGGUGGAGAAGAGACUAGCCGGCUGGAAGGAGCGCCGCAGUCUCUAAGGAGACAUUGACGUGCACAAGUACUAUCAGUCUGGCUGGUCUUCACCCCUUUCCAAGCCCUCACCACCACGGACAUGCAAAGAUUGGUGCUUCCCUGAGACCUGCCCACUAGUCACCACAUGCAGACAAUGGACACUUCACACCUCACUGAUGUGAACCUCCAGGAUUGACCCUUGUCUUCCACAGAGCUGGAUUUGUGAAAGGAUGACAGCAACCACAAGAAAAAGAAAUCAGUGAGCCACAUUAAAACGCCUUUAUUCCCUGCAACAGUUAAAGCAACAAAAUCUAAUGACAUGAAA
rnacentral:sRNA from 1 species